rnacentral:tRNA from 1 species
GGGGAUAUGGCGGAAUGGUAGACGCAACGGACUUAAAAUCCGUUGAUUAUUUUUGAUCGUGAGGGUUCAAGUCCCUCUAUCCCCA